rnacentral:lncRNA from 1 species
AAUAUAUAAAAACACUCUUGUAAUAAAAAUAAAACAUUUUCUUAUAAUUUAAGUAAAAGAUAUUUGUGAAUAAAAUAUUAUUAUAUGAUUAUAAUAAUAUAUUAUUAUUAUUAACUAAUGCAUAAAAUUAAACAAAUGAAAUAAAAGAAUAGAAAAAGAGAAACAGAAUAGCUAAAAAGAAACAGAGAACAGACGAAAAAGAAAGAAAGGAAAGGGGAAAUAAAAAUAAAAGGGAAAACUAGGGAUUUGAAGCUUGAAGUUUAAUAGGUAAGCUAAAUCAAGUCUUUUCUCAUAAAUUUGGUGUUUUUGGAAUCCUAGAGUGAAAUACUCUUGUAUUUAAGUUGAAAAUUUGAAAGUUAAUAGAUUUUUGAGUAGGGUUUAUGUUGAAUAAAUGAUGGAAUUGAGGGUUUAUUUGAUUGAGUUUCUAGUUAGAGUUGAUAAAAGGAUUAAAUUGUGAACUAAACUAGAAGUUUUGAAUUUUAGGGAUUAAAUUGAAAUAAAUUCGAAAUUAUAAAAAUAUGAUAAAAAUUAGAUAGUUAAAUGUGAGUUUGGUAGGAAAUUAAGUAGUAAAAAGGUAUGGAUUGAGAAAGAAAAAUAUAUAGGUUAGUUAGGAUUAAAUUAGAAUUAAAGUAAAAGUUAGAUAAAAAUUUCAGCAAUUAAAUUGUUUUGUGCUAAUGAUUGUGAAAUUAUUUUAAUUGUCCAUAGCUAAUAUCGAGCCUGAAGCAUCGGCCCAAAAAGGAAAAGAAAAGAUUGUUGAGGAUUAAAUCCGAAGAGAAUUCCGGUUUGUAUUACUAUAAUUCAAAUUAUUUAUUAUUUGAUGUUGAAUUUAAAUUAUGUGUAUGGUAAGCAUAUAAUAAGGUAAGUAACUUUAUUGAAUUGAAUUUGAAAAAAAUUAAAUUGACUAAGGAAAAUAUGUGUUGGUAUUGAACUGUGUUUUACUUAGUGAAGGGAAAAAGUAUAAUUGAUAUUGAAAAUGAAUUCUUGAAAUAAAAGUGAAAAUUAGAUUGUGAAAUUUAUAUAUCCUAUUAACUAAUCGGGCUGAGUCGGAUAUAAUUGGCAUGCCAUAGGAUUUAGAAGAGUACGGGAUUUAUCGGCUUUGCCGAUCAGACACUUUAUGUGUCGUAUCAAGCACCUCGUGUGUCGUUACAGGCACUUAAGUGUCGUAUACUGAUCAGGUACUAUGUACAGUUUUAGGCACAAUGUGCCGUACUGGUGUGUUUGGGUUGGAAUCUGUGUAUCCGCCAAAGUCCAGAUUGUUAAUAGGGUGAAUAAUUGAAAUGAGAAAAUCAAAUGAAUUUGAUCGAUAGCCGUAUUGAAUAUGAGAAAAUUUAAAAUUAUGAUAGGUGAUUGAGAUUGAAGAAUAGCUUAAUAUUGUAUUGUUGUCAAAUAAUGAAAAUUUAUGAAUAAAUUGAUAUUUAAGAAAUUGGAUUGUUACAUGCUUGGUAAUUAUAAUUCUUUAUUUCUAUUAUAAUUUGAAUUAUAGUAAUACCACUGAGUAUAUAAUACUCAGCGUACGGUUGUUUCCGUGCGCAGGUUGAAAAGGGGUUAGAGUCUCGGUUCAGCAUCCAGGACAAUCUCGACUCCUGCAUAGAGAUUUUG